rnacentral:rRNA from 1 species
UGCUAUACAUGCAGUCGACGCUUCUUUUUCCACCGGAGCUUGCUCCACCGGAAAAAGAGGAGUGGCGAACGGGUGAGUAACACGUGGGUAACCUGCCCAUCAGAAGGGGAUAACACUUGGAAACAGGUGCUAAUACCGUAUAACAAUCGAAACCGCAUGGUUUUGAUUUGAAAGGCGCUUUCGGGUGUCGCUGAUGGAUGGACCCGCGGUGCAUUAGCUAGUUGGUGAGGUAACGGCUCACCAAGGCGACGAUGCAUAGCCGACCUGAGAGGGUGAUCGGCCACAUUGGGACUGAGACACGGCCCAAACUCCUACGGGAGGCAGCAGUAGGGAAUCUUCGGCAAUGGACGAAAGUCUGACCGAGCAACGCCGCGUGAGUGAAGAAGGUUUUCGGAUCGUAAAACUCUGUUGUUAGAGAAGAACAAGGAUGAGAGUAACUGUUCAUCCCUUGACGGUAUCUAACCAGAAAGCCACGGCUAACUACGUGCCAGCAGCCGCGGUAAUACGUAGGUGGCAAGCGUUGUCCGGAUUUAUUGGGCGUAAAGCGAGCGCAGGCGGUUUCUUAAGUCUGAUGUGAAAGCCCCCGGCUCAACCGGGGAGGGUCAUUGGAAACUGGGAGACUUGAGUGCAGAAGAGGAGAGUGGAAUUCCAUGUGUAGCGGUGAAAUGCGUAGAUAUAUGGAGGAACACCAGUGGCGAAGGCGGCUCUCUGGUCUGUAACUGACGCUGAGGCUCGAAAGCGUGGGGAGCAAACAGGAUUAGAUACCCUGGUAGUCCACGCCGUAAACGAUGAGUGCUAAGUGUUGGAGGGUUUCCGCCCUUCAGUGCUGCAGCUAACGCAUUAAGCACUCCGCCUGGGGAGUACGACCGCAAGGUUGAAACUCAAAGGAAUUGACGGGGGCCCGCACAAGCGGUGGAGCAUGUGGUUUAAUUCGAAGCAACGCGAAGAACCUUACCAGGUCUUGACAUCCUUUGACCACUCUAGAGAUAGAGCUUCCCCUUCGGGGGCAAAGUGACAGGUGGUGCAUGGUUGUCGUCAGCUCGUGUCGUGAGAUGUUGGGUUAAGUCCCGCAACGAGCGCAACCCUAUGUUAGUUGCCAUCAUUUAGUUGGGCACUCUAGCAAGACUGCCGGUGACAAACCGGAAGAAGGUGGGGAUGACGUCAAAUCAUCAUGCCCCUUAUGACCUGGGCUACACACGUGCCUACAAUGGGA